UAUAACUUAGUAUUUCAAAACCAGUUUCCGGAUAGAAAACGUUUUAACUAAUAGUUGUGGUUUCAUUAUUAUACUCUGAAUGUGAAUUCGUUGUGAAUGGUGUAUGAAUAUAUGAUUGUAUGGAUGUUGUAUAUUCAGUUGUGGUGGUUGUAUAUUGCGUAUGUGUUCUUGUACUUGUGCGACGCCGUGCAAAUAUAGAGGAGACUCUGUCCGUGUGAAGAGUGAAUUUUCUGUAUUUGUGGUGGAUCUAGCAUACCCUGUAGGUGAGAUUUUCAAAAAAAAAAAAAUUAGACACUUCCGCUGUGUUUUUAAACUAAGGAGGGACCCCAGGGUGUGACAUGGUCGCACCUGCCUCAUGCCGGUACGCCCGCCGUCCGACUGCCAUCGGCCAGCCCGUGCUCCUGGUUCCGGUAAGUUUAAUUGCAUGUUUCUGCGCACUGUUUUGGGUUCGAGUCGUCGUUCCGACGAUCCGAGGGCACCCCGACACUCCCGAAAGUGAGCACGACGAUCCCUGAUCGAUGACGAUUAUCGCGCUCACCUCCUUUUGGGUCAGCAAAGCCCCGGUUUGUGGGUUAAACACUGUUUUGGCAUUGUGCGCGCUAUUCGCAGAAUUUGGCGUCGCUCCCAUGCUCUCCACAGUGAUCGGCCAUGCUCUGAAGUGUGAACAUAGCCUCCGGCACAUUAAGACUUAUCAGCGGGUGUCUCGACCAGGCUCGAAAGUCCUCGGUUUGCGUUGUCGGGCUGUAAAACCCCAAAAAUCACAUAAAAUGAUGUGAUUUUAUAUAAUCACAGUCUCACACGGCCUUAUUUGCAAAUUUGCAUUUCGUGGCUGCUCUGGGUAUUGUGUGCCGGCAAAGGGUGACCUCUGGACUGAUUGUCCAAGGCCCCAGGUCUUUUCGAAAAUCGGAUAUUGAUUUUCGGUGCGUUAAUUAUGUUGCCGCUGAGCCUUGUUGGCUGGUCACCCCCGUCGUUUUGAGGGUUCGGAAAUGACGGGUGAAUGAUGGUGGGUUCCGAUUUCGAAAUUGGCACUCCGGAAACUCGGAUCAAAAUAAUUAUCCGAUGAUAAUCGUUUCGAUGUGAAGAUAUGUGUUUGCUUCCAGGUCACACAAAUUAUUAUGUUUAGUGGCAGCGGACGACUUGUGGCGAAGAUAUGUGUUUGCUUCCAGGUCACACAAAUUAUUAUGUUUAGUGGCAGCGGACGACUUGUGGCACGAGUUGGUGAGUUUCGAGACAGUUCGUGGGUCCCGCUGGGGUCCCAGUGCGAUUUUCGAGACUUCCUGCGAGUUACGGUAAUCGGUGUUGGGAAACUGACUUCCGUGGGUUUACUAGUGGGGAUUGUGAGUUAGUGGUUCUCAUUAGUGGGGUCGGAUUCUAACCCGAUGGAUUCUUCGUAAGUCCGGUUGACAUUCUUUCGCAGUCGGGAGACCAGUGCUACGUACAUAUAGGUGGGUACUUUGACCUGAAGUUGGUACAGUGGUGCACUGUAACGACCCGGCCCACUAGCAAUAAUAACUCGUUGGGCCCAAACACCGACCCAAAAUGUUUAAGCCCAGUUGUUAUAACUACUGUCUAAGUCUCUUAUAUACCCAAUCACAUCCCCAUUCCUAUCCGAUGUGGAAUUAUUGGGGUGUGACAUACUCCCCCCGUUAAGGCCCUUACGUCUUCGUCAGUCCAAUCACACACACAGCCCAAGAUCACCAGGCGAUGUGAGACUCGUCUCGCUAGCCUUGUCAUUCAGACCCUGGCAUAGCCAACCACUCUGUCAUUCAGACUCCGGUAUAGCCUAUCACAUUGUCUUUCAGACUUGGCUCAGUCGAGACUCGUUGUAAGGACUCGAAACCGUGGAACGUGGAAUUGGACUUCGAUCCAAAUUGGUCAAAGUCGAGUUCGGGGUGCUUCAGAAAAGCCGAAGGCAUCAUGAAGGCCAAAAGUGCAUUAGAGAAGGCCUCCGAGAGCGAGUUGUGAAAAUUCUGCAAGUGCAGGAUUUUGCUCUCGGGGACCGGUCCCUGGUGGGAGAGACCGGUCCCCGUAGCUUGGAAAAUGUGGCAGAAGGAUCUGCACACAAAACUUGCUCUCGGGGACCGGUCCCUGGCGGGGGAGACCGGUCCCUGUAGGUAUGCAAAUUAAACAAAGGGUGUCCUGAGAGAGUGUGCUCUCGGGGACCAGUCCCUCAUUGGAGAGACCGGUCCCCGUAAACGUGAAAAAGGGGCAAGGGCCCUUUUCUGUAAAUAAGUCACUCUCGGGGACUGGUCUCUCAUAUAGAGACCGGUCCCCGUAGCCCGAAAAUGCCCAGGCUGGGCUGUGCAUGUGUGGUGAAGUUGAGGGGCUAAAGUUCAAAAUGGCCAUUAGUGAGGCUAUAUAAGCAUGUGGCUCUCUCUUUCCCUCAGUUUCACCCAACCUAAACCUAAAACCUUCCUCUCUCUCUCUAGGAUCUCUUCUCUCUCUCUCUCUCAAGGUGGAAGGAGAAGAAGGAGUUGGGAGAAAGUUUGGAAGAGUGAAGUUCUCUUCUUCGUCUUCUUCCUCAAGUAGAGAAGGAGCAUCUUGAGGUAAGCUCUUGAGCUUGUUAAUGGUGUAUAUCUAGGGUUUGGGUGUUUGAACUCUAGAAUAGUUUGGAUUGAACCCUAGAUGCUAGUAUAGUACUAGAUGCUAAAAUGUAAUGCACUGGAUCUUGCAAAUCGCAAGAUUCGAGUGUUUGAUCUGUGUGUGGAGCCUUUCCACAGUUUUUGGACGGUCGUUGAUAGUGUUCCGACCCUUGGCAUGCAUCCCGAGGAUGUUGGAGUGAGACUUGGCACCAAAAUCCCAAAACUGAAAUUUUUGGUCAGCUCUCGGGUAGCUUGCAGCAGGGCUUGUACCGGAACAAGACUGGUCUUGUACCGGUACAAGGUUGAUGGUUGUACCGGUACAGCCAUCGGGCUUGUACCGGUACAGAGCCGCAGACCCCGCGACCCGAGCCUCGGGUUUGCAUUUUCGUGGGCCUUGUACCGGUACAAGAACCCGUGUACCGGUACAAGGAGGCAGUUUUCGUGCAGACCGAACUGCAGGGGUGUUUUUGCUAUUGUAGCACUUCUAUUAGUAACCCCACGCCCCUUAGGGCUUCCCUGAGCUUCACAGCAGCAGGAGAAGAGGUAGAGGAGUUCUCCACACCCUCCCUUUCUAUUUCUUUGAUCUUGGUUGGUUUAAUUUAUGAUUUAAGCCUCUCUUUUUCCCCUUUUUGCUUCUUGGUGUUCUCCCUCCAUGGAAGGAGCUUGAAGCUUGGUUUUGGAGCUUGUUUGAGGGGAGAUUUUCAGAUUUUGGGGACUUGGACACUUGUUGGAGGCUUCCAAAGAGAUUAGAAGCUUGAUCUUUUCCUUUGAUCCUUAAUUUAUUGGAUUUCUUGAGAUGAAACCCUAGAUUGUGAUAUUAGGGCUUAAAUUGGGCAUUUUGAAUCUAGGGCUUUUGAAGCUAGAUUAAGUGGAUUAGAGGCUUCCAUUUGGUUGGAUUGGAAGGGCUCUAGCUCUAUUUUGGAGCUUUAGAGGAGAUUUUUGCACUAGAGGUGAGUUUUCCUCGCCUAUGCUUGAUUAGCUUAAUGAUUGAGCUAGGUAUUUUUCGUUUGGCUCGUAUGACACAUGUUUCUAUACCUCUAGGAUACUAGGAGAUUAGGGGACACCCUCGUUGGAGCGAACGAGGAGUUUCGUCGUCAUCGGUGGGUUUGGCUUCGUGGAAAAGGGGCGAAAUGGCCCCUAUGCUCUUUCUACUUGUUGUAAAAUAUUUUUAGAUUCACUUCUAUGCUAAAUGGAAUUUAUAUGAAUUUUAGAGCACUUAAAAUGCAUGCCUUGUGUAUUAUGAAAAANNNNNNNNNNNNNNNNNNNNNNNNNNNNNNNNNNNNNNNNNNNNNNNNNNNNNNNNNNNNNNNNNNNNNNNNNNNNNNNNNNNNNNNNNNNNNNNNNNNNACAAUAGAGGCUGGUACUCCAUGUAAUCGCACAAUUUCAUCAAGGUACACUUGUGCGAGUCUCUCCCCUGACCAAACUGUAUGAAUUGGGAUAAAGUGGGCAGAUUUGGUCAAUCUAUCCACAAUUACCCAAAUUGUAUCAUGGCCUGCUUGUGAAUGAGGUAAUCCAACGAUGAAAUCCAUAGUGAUCAUUUCCCACUUCCACAUUGGUAUGGGUAAACUCUGUAGUUUCCCUGCAGGAAGUCGAUGUUCAGCCUUAACCUGCUGACAGGUUAAGCAUCUUGCCACAAAAUCAGCAACUUCCUUUUUCAUUCCAGGCCACCAGUAAGUUGGCUUCAGAUCUUUAUACAUUUUCGUGCUCGCAGGGUGUAAAGUAUACGAGGCUUGAUGUGCUUCAGUUAGAAUCUCCUCUUUAAUAUCUGGAUCUGCUGGCACACAAAGUCUAUCGCCGAAUUUUAUCAAUCCCUGAUCAUCCACUCGAAAAUCACCACCAUCAUGAUCAGCCGUGAUCUUUGCUCGAAUUUUUUGCAGAGCCUCAUCUUGAGCUUGCUUUUCUUUAAUUCGAUCGAUCAGGGUAGGUUGCACUACUAAUGACAUAAGUCGCCAAGGCGUGUCAGGAGCUACAACUUCCAAAUUCAACUGCUCCAUUUCUUUUACCAACAGUGGUUGCAUGGUUAUCGCCAUCGCCAAAUUUUCCGUCGAUUUUCGACUUAAAGCAUCUGCUACAACAUUAGCUUUUCCUGGGUGAUAAAGGAUUGUCAAAUCAUAGUCCUUGAGCAACUCCAACCAUCUACGUUGUCUCAAGUUUAAUUCCUUUUGCGUAAACAGAUACUUUAAGCUUUUAUGAUCAGUGUAGACUUCACAACGCUCGCCGUAGAGAUAGUGGCGCCAAAGCUUUAAAGCAAAUACCACAGCUGCUAACUCCAAAUCAUGUGUAGGGUAGUUCUUUUCAUAAUCUUUCAAUUGGCGAGAUGCAUAAGCAAUUACUUUGCCAUUCUGCAUUAGAACACACCCUAAUCCAUUCAGUGACGCAUCACUGUAAAUCACAUAAUCCGCUCCAGUAACAGGCAGUGCUAGAAUCGGGGCGGUAGUCAACCGUUCCUUUAGCUCUUGAAAGCUUCUUUCGCAGGCUUCAUUCCACAGAAACUUAGCCCCUUUAUGUGUCAGUCGGGUAAGUGAUGUAGACAUCUUUGCAAAUCCCUCUACAAAUCUUCGAUAGUAUCCUGCCAAACCAAGGAAACUUCAAAUUUCUGUAACACUGGUUGGCCUAGGCCAAUCUUUAAUCGCUUCAAUCUUCUUGGGAUCCACAGCUAUCCCAGCCUCUGAAAUGACAUGGCCCAGAAAUGCUACUUCUCGAAGCCAAAAUUCACAUUUCUUUAACUUUACAAACAGUUUCUUUUCGCGAAGUACUUGCAACACCGUUCUCAAAUGACUUCAUGCUCCUCGUCACUUCGAGAGUAGAUCAGAAUAUCGUCGAUAAACACGACCACAAACCUAUCCAAAUAGGGCUUAAAGACACGGUUCAUUAAAUCCAUAAAGGCUGCUGGGGCAUUCGUCAGUCCAAAUGGCAUAACUGUGAAUUCAUAAUGCCCAUACCGUGUCCUAAAAGCGGUCUUGAAAACUUCUUCAGGCUUGAUCUUAAGCUGAUGAUAACCUGACUGUAAAUCAAUUUUAGAAUAUACUUUUGAUCCUUACAGCUGAUCGAAUAAAUCAUCAAUUCGGGGUAAUGGAUAUUUGUUCUUGAUUGUGACUUUAUUGAUUUCUCGGUAAUCCACACACAAUCGAAGAGAUCCAUCUUUCUUCUUAACAAACAACACCGGUGCUCCCCAAAGAGAUACACUCGGUCGAAUAAAACCCUUAUCCAAUAAAUCCUGCAACUGUGCCUUCAGCUCUUUCAACUCAGCGGGUGCCAUCCUAUAGGGUGCUUUCGAGAUAGGAGUUGUCCCAGGGACAAGAUCAAUCACAAACUCCACUUCCCUAUCAGCUGGCAUACCCGGCAACUCAGCUGGAAACACAUCCCCGAACUCCCGCACAACUGGGAUAUCAUCAAUCUUGAUGGCUUCACCACCACUCAUAGAAAUGCUAGCCAGAUAGGCUACACAGCCCCUCCGAAUCAACUGUCGUGCUUGCGAAGAACUAAUAGUCAUUGCAAACAAUGAACUCUGACAGCCCCUGUAAACAAACUCCUGUUGGCCCGGUUCCCUAAAGGUCACCGUUCUGUUCGUGCAAUCUAUGGUGACAUAAUACUGAGUUAACCAAUCCAUACCCAAUACUACAUCAAACUCUCCAAGUUUGUGUAGUGCCAAAAGAUCCACUGGCAUAAUCCAGUCGCCUACCCUAAUUGGGCAGUGAGGACAAAACUCACGAACAUCAAGGGUAUGGUCAGGUACAAUCACUCGUCCAGGAUGCAAGGUAGGUACUACCUGAAUGCUAUGCAACUCGGCGAACUGCCGAUCAAUAAAAGAAUGCGAAGCACCAGUAUCAAAUAAUGCACGAACAGGAAUAUCAAAAAGCGUAAAAAUACCUGCUACGACCUCCUCCGCUGCUGCGGCCUUCUCAGUCUGGGCGGCAUACAUGCGCCCACUCGAACCUUGUCGAGAACUCUCGGACUGCUGCUGUCCCGGUGGUCGUUUGUACUGCGAGGGUGCUGAUGGGGUCCCCUGGCUCGGAGCUGAAGAUGCAGGUGCAGACGCUGACGAGGGUGCAGGCAAGGAACCUCUCGGGCACUCUGAGCGAAAGUGGCCCUCCUGUCCGCAGAGAAAACAUCUGCCCCCACGUUGUAGACACUGUGGUGGAAGGUGAGGCCCACCACAAAUGACACAACGUGGCUGUCGACGACGCUCGGGGGCUCCACGGGGUGCUGAGGAACCUCAACCUCUCGACUGACCUAGCUGGCCCCUCGGAUAUUUCGGUGGUCUCCUGAAGGGUUGCUGACCACUGCUCUCAGCUGCUGGCCUUUUUCCUUUACUUCGAUCCACAAUAUCUCUUUCUUUCAUAAUCUCUGCCCCUUUUUCCACAAUCAAGGCUCGGUUUACCACCUCUCUAUACGUCGAUAGGUUUGACGCCUGGACUAAUCUGAAAAUCGCAGGCCGCAAACCUGCCUCGAAAAUCCGAGCCUUAUCCUCAUCAUCUCUGACCACAAAAGGAACACAAUGCAGCAAUCGGAAAAACUCUCGCUCAUACUCUGCUACUGUCCUGUCCCCCUGCCUCAGGUUUCUCAGAUCCCUUUCCAUCUGCCUCUUCACACUCUGCGGGAAAUAGGUUGUCAAUAAUAACUCCUUGAACCUCGUCCAGGUGAUAGCGGAUAAAUCAGCACGGGGAUCCUCGCGGAUAUCCACCCACCACCUGUAAGCCUCACCGUCAAGAUGGUGUGUCGCGAACCAGACCCGGUAUCCCUCCUCAACAAAAGUAUCAUAAAAUAAUUUUUCCAUAUGCAUUAACCAUUUCUCAACCAACCAAUGAUCGGCUUUUUCCCCAUCAAAGAUACGAGGGUUGCAAUGGCGAAAUUCAUUCAGUCGUUCCAUCAUCCGCUCUCGCUCCUCCGCCCCCACCAUCUCGGGUAACACUGUCCCUGAUGCCACUACAGGUACUGGUGGUGGUACUACUGUCUCCUGUCGGGUCUCUGCCCUCGGAGCUACUGGGGGUGUAUCGGGUACCGGUGACUGUGCUCUCACUGUGGUGCCCCUCUCUGGUACUAUAGGUACAGAAUCCGGAGGUACAGAACCUGGAAUCUCUCUAUCGGUCGUCUGCCGCAGUAAUAGAUCCUCUAACCUCUUCAUCCUGUCCUCCUGCCGACGCGCAGCGUCCAUCUGCUGUCGUGCUGCCGCGGCCUGCUGAGUAACCAACUCUGUCAACGUCGCAAGCUGAUCCUGCAACUCAUGGAGCUCACUGGACCCCGACGUGACGGAAGUCUCUACCUCUUCCGCAGCGGCCGCCUCAGCCGCCCCGGCGGUUCCAGAACGAGUCGUAGGCAUCUUGAACUGCAACACAAAAACAAACAUAGGUCAAUAAACCCUAUACUACUGAACCCUCAUUGAGGAUAUAAACCAGCUAAUCAAGCGAAAGUAAUGAAAUGUAACGCGUACUAACUUUCGAUGUCACAUUGUCGGCCGCCAACGUGACCCUCUGCAAAGUUAGUAAUUGCACAUUCCGAUCAAACCCCUACUAUUCAGAGUUUAUAAAUACCCAAUCCAAGUACUUUCGCUAACAACAACCUCGACUAGACCUCGUCUCUCACGAGCCUAUUCUUAUAGUCCAACCAGCCUAAGGUUUGCUAGGUCUACUAAGACUCAACCCUAGGCUCUGAUACCACUAUAAUCUGUCACGCCCGGGUACCAGCGGAAGCAUAUCCGGUACGUGCACAGACCCGCCAUACACCUGCAGUAUAUAAGGCGUCUACAAGAAACAAGUCGAUAGGAGCAAAAACAUAACCUAAUCCUAUCCUAAUAUCAGAGCAUAGUAAAAAUCACAAAGACUAUCAACAAAAGAACGAGAGUGUCCAGCCAAAAUAUAGGUACAAAAGAAAGUACUAAAACUGCCACAUCUGGAUCCAAAAUAAAUAUACAACACAGGGUAUACAAAAAGUCUGUACAAUGGUAGUCUCUCUAUAAACUGGACAUCACCCUCGGCUGUAACCCGAGUAGCAAGGUGAUCGACUAGCACGCUCCUAGCAAUGUCUAGCUAGACGUGACUCCCUUGCCACGGUCCCUAGCCUCUCCUGUAGAUGGCUCUGUAAAAACAACCAUAAAAAGGGCGUGAGAACUAUAAACAAUAGUUCCCAGUGGGUAAGCCGCCAGCCUCGGCGAAUUACACCACUAGGCUCAUGAUGUACUAAAUGAAAGCGAAAGCAGUAAUUGCAUGAUAUAUAAUUAGGCAAUGCUAACAGGUAAUGAGCAUGUAAGCAACAUGUAAUCAUAGUCUCAACAGUAAUGAAUCAACUGAAUAAUAGAAGCAUAGCAACUAUGAUAAGCAUGAACAUAAAAAUAAAUGUGUAAGUAACUACUAUACACUGUAACUGGUAAUCAUUCAUUACUGUCCAAUUUUCUUUAGCACUUUUCUUUCAUUCAUAAGAAUCUUUCCAAGGUAGUCCAACUUGCGCCGCGCUAAUGGCCCCGUGGUAGUAUACACUCCCCACGGCAAUCCACUUCGGCACCCAAUCCCGCACGGGCGAGCAACUGUCGCGUAGGCCAACUCCGGAGUGCCGGCUUGUAGGGAGCGACCCUCACAAGCGUGUGCGAAUGAGCACAAUGGCAACAAGCAAAUCCACAGUCCAACAUGUCUCAAUCAUCACUUUCCAACUUGCAAAGUUCUCGAUCCUUUGAUCGGAAUUCUCAAUAUAAUAAAUAUUGGUAAUAACUAGUAUCCACUAGAUUAAUAAGCAGGCAAGAGUAAUGCUAAUUUACAUAUGGCAUUAGAAUCUUUCAUUAUCAUGGCACUAUCAACAUAGGCACAAGCAUGUCAUUGUUGUCUACUUUACAAUCAAUAAAGUCAACGAAUGUCAUUGUUCUCUACUUUACAGGAACAUAAUAAACUUAUCUCUCGGUUGUUCUACUGAACUAAACAAGAAUACCUCUAUGCAUAAAUGUUCCCUACUUUAUAGAGAUUCUAUUUCAAUCAUAUAGCAAAUAUUAUAGUGACAUGUUUCGAGUUCUAUAUUAACCACGAUUACACACAAUUAUAUUGAUUUUAUAAUACAUAUAGAACAUAGGGGCGCUUCACUUGCUCUGGUUAGGUCAAACCCACCUAUUACUAAGCUCCAAACAUUCCAAAGGAAGUCCCAAAAUCGGCUCAACGAAGCCCCAAUGCUGCUGAAAACAAGGUACGAAAGUCGAGUCAAUGCUAUAACCGAAAUGUCCAAUUUCGGUACAAUUCGUACUUAAAGCAAAGUAGGAAUUUAAUUCCCUAUUUAGGGUUAGUUUGAUACCUCAAAUUAGGCUUCCAAAAGGCCCUCCACUGCCUAUCAGAGACGGUCCAAGGGUCAAAUGCCCUCUCGCUGCGAACAAAACCGAAACGGCGUCAAUAUGCUUGUAUAUAAGCUAUAUUAGUCGAAAUCUAGAAAUUUCAGUUUUCUAGCUGAAAUUCUUGCUUACCCUGGGUCAGAACACCUACUAAACCAACUCCCGAGGUCACCAAUUAGGCCCAAUGUGAAUUGGGAACCUGCUGCGAAGAAGUAAGUUCCAAACUGCAUCAAAUGCCCGAGUAAACUUCGUAUAGUUCCGAACUAGCUUCAUAAUUAGCUAAAUAUUCCAUUAAGCUUCCAAGUAGCUUAGCCCUGGUCUAAGGAGGUUAAUCCAUAGCUAAUUAAUCCAACUGUAAUUACUGAAAUCUCAGAUUAACCCAACUAGAAGCAACAAUCCCGAAACUAUACAUAACUCGUCCAAUAGAUUGCCGAAAAUUGAAAAAGUGAGCCGAUUACCUUCUCAAGCUUGCAACCAGUGAGUUACUGGUCCAGGGCUGCGAAAAGCUCUCCAAAACACUCCCUCACACGUCCACCAAGGCUCAGCGACACUCCCAAACAGCGAAGAGCGAGCUCGGCGACGACGACGGUGCAAAACGGUGACUUCUUUGUAGAGAGAGAAAAUCCCUAGAGAGAGAGUGUGAGGAAGGUGAGGAAACCCUUCUCUGAGCUCUACUACCUUCCAAGGUGCUCCGGAGCUCGAGCUGGAUCAGGUAGAUAAGGAUCAAGAGGUGAAAUGACCAAAAAACCCUGCUGUCCCGCAGCAGCUGACUCUGCUGCUUGCUGUACCGGUACAGCAUUAGGCUUGUACCGGUACACCAAUGCAGAAAUUGCAGAUUUUGCAAUUGCAAUGCACUUUCUCACUUCUAGCUUUCCGAUCACUCUCAAACUUAUUUGUAAAUAUCUUUAAACCCUUUAGAACAUGUGGAAAGGUUCCAAAUGUCAUUCCUCACUCAAACUUUGCAAUUUGUUGAAGUUCUGUAUACUAUAAUACCAUAAGUUUAGGAGUCGCUUCAACGACGCACUUUCUUACAUCCAGAAGUCUAAUAGCUCUCAAAAUUAACCCACAACACCUUUACAAAUAUUAGGACCUGUGGUUACAUGCCACUCCUCAACCCGACUUCCAACUUCUAUAAUUUUGCAAAGUUCAAGAUACUACACCGGCAGUGCUCCGAAGUGUGAGCAUGGCCUCCGGCACAUCGAGACUUGUCAACGGUGGUCUCGGCCUAGCUAGAAUACCCUCAGUUUAUGCUGUCGGGCCGUAAAACCCCGCAAAUCACAUGAAAUAAUGUGAUUUUGUGUUGUCGCGGGGCUUUCUAUGCAAUUUUACACUUUGUGGUCACUGUUGGCAGUGUGUGUGGGCAGUGGGUGACCUCUGGACUGAUUGUCCAAGGCCCCAGGCCCUUGUAGAGAUCGAAAAUUUAUUUUCUGUGCGUUUGUCGGUCAAAAUCCGCCGACGGAACGUGUUUUUGUUUCGGAAUUCUUUCAAUGGUGCCUCACGAUAUUUUGUGUCAUCACUGAGCCUUGUUGGCCAGUCACCUGCAUCGUUUUGAGGGUCCAAAAAUGACGGGUGAGCGACGGUGGGUUUCAGUGUCGAAUUGGACACUUUCGGAAACCCUGAUCGAAAUGACUAUCCGAUGAUAAUCGUUUCGGAGUGAGUUAGUGUUUUGCUGCCAAGUCACACGAAAAAUAUGUGUUUAGUGGCAGCGGGUGACUCGUAACAUGAAUCAGUGAGUUCCGGGACAGUUCGUGGGUCCCGACGGAGUCCCAGUGCGGUUUUCGGGACUUCCGGCGUGUUCGGCAAUCGGUUUUGGGAAACCGAUUCCCGUAGGUUCAUUGGUGGGGAUUGUGAGUUAGCGUUAAUUCCCGUAGGUUCAUUGGUGGGGAUUGUGAGUUAGCGUUUUGUGUUUGUGGGUUGGAAUCUAACCCGGUGGACCCUUCGUAGGUCCGGUUGUUAUUUCCUCCGCAGUCGAAAGAUCAGUACCGUAUUCGUACAGGUGGGUACUUCGACCCGGAGUUGAUCUAGCGGUGCACGCUCGGUGACAUUUCUCCUACCUUAUCUCUCUUAUUACUGUUGUUUACCAUUGUUGAGCCUGACACCAUGUGAAUCGUUAUAUAUUGCUCUACUUAGUAUUUUUCUAUACUCGCUAUCAUGAUCUAGAAGUAGAGCAGACAUUGUUUGUAUCUCGUCCAUUGUGACACUCUUGUGACCUAGUCGGUCGGUUCCUUGACUCCUGCUAUUUGAUGACCCUUGAGGUCGGUAUACCCUGAGGGGUGGGAUUGUCGGCUAGUCAUUGCCAACGGAGGAUUAUAGUUUACUCAGAUCCAUCUUUUGAUAUUUAUGUGAUCUAGUCAGUCGGUUUCGUGACUCUUGUCGUUUGAUGACCUAUGAGGUCGGUGUACCCUGAGGGGUAGGAUUGUCGGCUAGUGGCUGACGGUUAGUUCUCGAUUAUAUCGAUUCGUGAUGUGAUAUCCUUGUGACUUAUUAGUCGGUUAUUGUGCAUAUAUUUUUGUCGACAUUGUGUGGUCAGUACUUCAUAUCUUUGGGAGGAUGUUGAGUUGUUCCAUCCUAGUUGACUUGAGUGGUCGGUACUUGUGUUUCCUUACAGUUCGAUGACCUAUUAGUCGGUGGCCCCGAGGGGCGGUGAUUGUCGGCUAGUUGCCGACGGUUGACUAUUGAGCAUAUCAGCAUUGAUCGCCCCGAGGGGUGGUGAGAUCGUUUCACCUUCCUCUUGUCUUUCAUAUAAGUAUCAUAGUCUUUACAUGUCAGUUGAUUGUUUACCGUUCAUUAUCGUACCUUGUUGAUUGCAUGUGUUUAGUCGUUGAUAGACAUGUAGAGCAGGCUUGCAUAUGUACUUUGUAUCUCUGUGGACCUUGGGUCCAGGCAACACAUCGACUCUCUUGUCAUGUGCUUCGAUCUGGUUGAUCGUGGUUCGGCGUUGUACGCCCUUAUUUCUGGCUUCGGCCUAGGUACCGGCUUCAACCGGUUUUUAUUUUGAGCAUACCAGCAUGACUUAGUCACAGCACUUGGGGGUAUUCAUGACACCGGGUCGGUUUGGCCACCGACCGGAGGUGUGCUUAUCCGGAUGGGUUGUCCUGUGGAGCGGAUGAAUCAGGUCGGUGCAGAUUAGUGACCGGCAGCGCUUGAGGUCUGCGGACCAACAUAGCAGGCACCAGAUUGGGUACAGUUUCUGGUUGAUUACAUUGAGGUAUACUUGCAUUGUUUUCUAUACAGUAGCAGUUUUACUUAUUCCUUCUUAUUAUAUCUGUUAUAGUUACUGUAGUUUCCUUUCGUAUCACAGCAUAUAUAUCUUGUUUACCUAUCUCCUUUGAUUUCCGGUGAUUACGGCUUGCCUUCGUGGCUUUGCCGUACCCACUGGGAAACCUUGAUUGCGGUUUCUCACGCCCCAUUUCCCUAGGUGUUUCGGGCAAGGAGUUGGUGUUGGGCGCGAUGAGAGUACGAUCUAGCUAGCCUGCCGUAGCGAUCGUCACCCCGGUUAUAUUUCAUUCAUGCAUUUAGUAGUUUAAUAAAUAAAUGGUUCAGUUAGAUGAUUAUUACUAAUGUUUGAAUGUUGUGAACGGUAUGAGUUGGUUUUCCUACUAUGCAUGCGAUUUGAGUUUAUGGAUCUUUAGUUUUGGGAAUUAUGUAUACCUUGUGGUUCUCGGAUUUGUAUAUCUACGCAUCGUGGUUUUCUACCCCUCGAGAUAGUCGAUUUUCAAAAUAGAGUUUUCGAGUAGGAAACAGUUUUAAAAAGGUUUUCAAAUGGCUUUUGUGAAUGAUUGAAUUAGAUUUAAAAACACAGCUUCCGGGUGGGGAGCACUUUUAAAUAGAAUGAUCGUUGUACUGUGCAUCGCAUCAUCCAGCGCCUAAGGAGUGCUUAGAGGCAUGCAUCAUUCUAAGGAUUGUUAGCUGUAUGGAAAUGNUGUAUGGAAUGAAUUGAUUGUUGAUUGGUAAAUGUAGAUUGUGGUUGACAUCCUGAUGUAGCUGUUGGUACGCCGUGUAAAUACAAAGGAGACUCUAUCCGAGUGGACAGAGGAACUUUGUAUUUGUGGCGGGUCUGUACGUCACGUGGGCCAGGUUGGAAAAAAAAAAUGGCACGUUUUUCGCAACUCUGAUUUCAAAAUGGUAAUGUUUAUAAAAAGGCUUUUAAAAUCGGCCCUGGGACGUGACACUUUGAGUGACAAGGCGCACAUUUUUUGACA
rnacentral:lncRNA from 1 species